rnacentral:rRNA from 1 species
GAUGAACGCUGGCGGCGUGCCUAAUACAUGCAAGUAGAACGCUGGAGGAAGGAGCUUGCUCUUUCCGGAUGAGUUGCGAACGGGUGAGUAACGCGUAGGUAACCUGCCUGGUAGCGGGGGAUAACUAUUGGAAACGAUAGCUAAUACCGCAUAACAGUAGAUGUUGCAUGAUAUCUACUUAAAAGGUGCAAUUGCACCACUACCAGAUGGACCUGCGUUGUAUUAGCUAGUUGGUGAGGUAACGGCUCACCAAGGCGACGAUACAUAGCCGACCUGAGAGGGUGAUUGGCCACACUGGGACUGAGACACGGCCCAGACUCCUACGGGAGGCAGCAGUAGGGAAUCUUCGGCAAUGGACGGAAGUCUGACCGAGCAACGCCGCGUGAGUGAAGAAGGUUUUCGGAUCGUAAAGCUCUGUUGUAAGAGAAGAACGAGUGUGAGAGUGGAAAGUUCACACUGUGACGGUAUCUUACCAGAAAGGGACGGCUAACUACGUG